rnacentral:rRNA from 1 species
UACGGGGGGUGCAAGCGUUGUCCGGAAUCAUUGGGCGUAAAGAGCGUGUAGGCGGCUCGCUAAGUCUUGCGUGAAAUCUCGGGGCUCAACCCCGAGCGGUCGUGAGAAACUGGCGGGCUAGAGUGCGGGAGAGGAGAGUGGAAUUCCUGGUGUAGCGGUGAAAUGCGCAGAUAUCAGGAAGAACACCCGUGGCGAAGGCGGCUCUCUGGAACGCAACUGACGCUGAGACGCGAAAGCGUGGGGAGCAAACAGG